rnacentral:rRNA from 1 species
GACGAACGCUGGCGGCGUGCUUAACACAUGCAAGUCGAACGGUAAGGCCCUUCGGGGUACACGAGUGGCGAACGGGUGAGUAACACGUGGGUGAUCUGCCCUGCACUUCGGGAUAAGCCUGGGAAACUGGGUCUAAUACCGGAUAGGACUCCGGACUGCAUGGUCUGGGGUGGAAAGCUUUUGCGGUGUGGGAUGGGCCCGCGGCCUAUCAGCUUGUUGGUGGGGUGAUGGCCUACCAAGGCGACGACGGGUAGCCGGCCUGAGAGGGUGACCGGCCACACUGGGACUGAGAUACGGCCCAGACUCCUACGGGAGGCAGCAGGGGGGAAUAUUGCGCAAUGGGCGCAAGCCUGAUGCAGCGACGCCGCGUGAGGGAUGACGGCCUUCGGGUUGUAAACCUCUUUCAGCAUCGACGAAGCGAAAGUGACGGUAGGUGCAGAAGAAGGACCGGCCAACUACGUGCCAGCCGCCGCGGUAA